AUAGGGGAGCCGGAGGGAAACCGAGUCUUAAUUGGGCGUUAAGUUGCAGGGUAUAGACCCGAAACCCGGUGAUCUAGCCAUGGGCAGGUUGAAGGUUGGGUAACACUAACUGGAGGACCGAACCGACUAAUGUUGAAAAAUUAGCGGAUGACCUGUGGCUGGGGGUGAAAGGCCAAUCAAACCGGGAGAUAGCUGGUUCUCCCCGAAAGCUAUUUAGGUAGCGCCUCGUGAAUUCAUCUCCGGGGGUAGAGCACUGUUUCGGCUAGGGGGCCAUCCCGGCUUACCAACCCGAUGCAAACUGCGAAUACCGGAGAAUGUUAUCACGGGAGACACACGGCGGGUGCUAACGUCCGUCGUGAAGAGGGAAACAACCCAGACCGCCAGCUAAGGUCCCAAAGUCAUGGUUAAGUGGGAAACGAUGUGGGAAGGCCCAGACAGCCAGGAUGUUGGCUUAGAAGCAGCCAUCAUUUAAAGAAAGCGUAAUAGCUCACUGGUCGAGUCGGCCUGCGCGGAAGAUGUAACGGGGCUAAACCAUGCACCGAAGCUGCGGCAGCGAACGUAUCACUUAAAGCGAUUCAGCGGGUUACGAUUGACGGAGCGAAGCGACGUCAAAGCGUAUACAAAGUCGAGUCGGUUUAAGGAUACGUUCGUUGGGUAGGGGAGCGUUCUGUAAGCCUGUGAAGGUGGCCUGUGAGGGUUGCUGGAGGUAUCAGAAGUGCGAAUGCUGACAUAAGUAACGAUAAAGCGGGUGAAAAGCCCGCUCGCCGGAAGACCAAGGGUUCCUGUCCAACGUUAAUCGGGGCAGGGUGAGUCGACCCCUAAGGCGAGGCCGAAAGGCGUAGUCGAUGGGAAACAGGUUAAUAUUCCUGUACUUGGUGUUACUGCGAAGGGGGGACGGAGAAGGCUAUGUUGGCCGGGCGACGGUUGUCCCGGUUUAAGCGUGUAGGCUGGUUUUCCAGGCAAAUCCGGAAAAUCAAG
rnacentral:rRNA from 1 species